rnacentral:rRNA from 1 species
GUCGAACGGCAGCGGGUCCUUCGGGAUGCCGGCGAGUGGCGAACGGGUGAGUAAUGUAUCGGAACGUGCCCAGUAGCGGGGGAUAACUACGCGAAAGCGUGGCUAAUACCGCAUACGCCCUUAGGGGGAAAGGCGGGGAUCCUUCGGGACCUGUCACUAUUGGAGCGGCCGAUAUCGGAUUAGCUGGUUGGUGGGGUAAUGGCCUACCAAGGCGACGAUCCGUAGCUGGUUUGAGAGGACGACCAGCCACACUGGGACUGAGACACGGCCCAGACUCCUACGGGAGGCAGCAGUGGGGAAUUUUGGACAAUGGGGGCAACCCUGAUCCAGCCAUCCCGCGUGUGCGAUGAAGGCCUUCGGGUUGUAAAGCACUUUUGGCAGGGAAGAAAUUGCCUGGGUUAAUAGCCUGGGCCGAUGACGGUACCUGCAGAAUAAGCACCGGCUAACUACGUGCCAGCAGCCGCGGUAAUACGUAGGGUGCGAGCGUUAAUCGGAGUUACUGGGCGUAAAGCGUGCGCAGGCGGUUC